AGAGUUUGAUCAUGGCUCAGAUUGAACGCUGGCGGCAUGCCUCAUACAUGCAAGUCGGACGGUAACAUACACUUCGGUGUGAUGACGAGUGGCGGACGGGUGAGUAAUGCAUAAGAAUCUGCCUAUUAGUGGGGGACAACGUGUGGAAACGCAUGCUAAUACCGCAUACAUCCUACGGGGAAAAGGUUGCCUCUUCAUGAACGCAAUCGCUAAUAGAUGAGCUUAUGUCAGAUUAGCUAGUUGGUAGGGUAAGAGCUUACCAAGGCGACGAUCUGUAGCCGGCCUGAGAGGGUGAACGGCCACACUGGGACUGAGACACGGCCCAGACUCCUACGGGAGGCAGCAGUAGGGAAUAUUGGACAAUGGGGGCAACCCUGAUCCAGCAAUGCCGCGUGUGUGAAGAAGGCCUGCGGGUUGUAAAGCACUUUCAGUAGGGAGGAAAUGCUUAAAGUUAAUAGCUUUAAGAGUUGACGUUACCUACAGAAGAAGCACCGGCUAACUCUGUGCCAGCAGCCGCGGUAAUACAGAGGGUGCGAGCGUUAAUCGGAAUUACUGGGCGUAAAGGGUACGUAGGCGGCUCCUUAAGUCUGAUGUGAAAUCCCCGUGCUUAACAUGGGAAUUGCAUUAGAUACUGGGUAGCUAGAGUAUAGUAGAGGAGAGUGGAAUUUCUAGUGUAGCGGUGAAAUGCGUAGAUAUU
rnacentral:rRNA from 1 species